rnacentral:tRNA from 1 species
CCAACAUAGCUGGUUCAGUGUGGUUUUGAAGAAACUAAGUACGGUUGGAGAUGGU